CUACGGGUGGCAGCAGUGGGGAAUAUUGGGCAAUGGGCGAAAGCCUGACCCAGCAACGCCGCGUGAAGGAAGAAGGUUUUCGGAUCGUAAACUUCUAUCCUAGGUGAAGAUAAUGACGGUAGCCUAGAAGAAAGCCCCGGCUAACUACGUGCCAGCAGCCGCGGUAAUACGUAGGGGGCAAGCGUUGUCCGGAAUGAUUGGGCGUAAAGGGCGCGUAGGCGGCCAUGUAAGUCCGAUGUGAAAGUCCUGCUUUUAAGGUGGGAAUUGCAUUGGAAACUGUGUGGCUUGAGUGCAGGAGAGGUAAGCGGAAUUCCCGGUGUAGCGGUGAAAUGCGUAGAGAUCGGGAGGAACACCAGUGGCGAAGGCGGCUUACUGGACUGUAACUGACGCUGAGGCGCGAAAGUGUGGGGAGCAAACAGGAUUAGAUACCCUGGUAGUC
rnacentral:rRNA from 1 species